UAAUUUUUUAUAGGUUGUAAUCAAUAUAUUAUAUUGAGUGUGAUCAUGGCUCGGAAUUAACGCUAAUUAGACGCCUAACACAUGCGAGUUUUAUAUAAGUUAAAUUAUAAAUUAAUUUAAAUAUAUAGCGUCAAGGUGAGUAUAAUAUGAAAAUAUGCCCUUAAGUCUAUUUAAAUAGUAGAUAAAUUAAAAAUAAAAAUAAAUGCUAAC
rnacentral:rRNA from 1 species